CUUCAUCAUUCGCACACAAGAAGACAUAAAACGUAGCUGUGCCAUAACACAAUGCACAAAGGCCACAGCCAGCCCCCAUAAACACAACACACCACAAGCAGCUACUCCACACACAAAGGUCACAGACACAUGCUCACAAAGACAUACAUUCACACACAAGGAUACUCUCGGUCAGACACAAACUUUCAGGCACAUACAUAGGGAGACAAUGGCAGACACACUCAGAAAUACACACACCGGCACUUAUGUAUACAUACCUACCAGUCGUGUAUAAAUGAUUAGCAUAAUUACGAAUUAAAUUUGUUUAUUACAAAAUAAUUGAGUUUGAAAAUUAUGUCAUAACUUCAGUCAGAGAGCUCACAACGCAGCGGGACAGGGAUCUGCGACACUGCAAGCC